rnacentral:rRNA from 1 species
UACGAAGGGGGCUAGCGUUGCUCGGAAUUACUGGGCGUAAAGGGCGCGUAGGCGGGUCGUCAAGUUGGGGGUGAAAGCCCGGGGCUCAACCUCGGAAUUGCCUUCAAAACUGACGACCUAGAGUAUGGGAGAGGUGUGUGGAACUCCGAGUGUAGAGGUGAAAUUCGUAGAUAUUCGGAAGAACACCAGUGGCGAAGGCGACACACUGGCCCAUUACUGACGCUGAGGCGCGAAAGCGUGGGGAG